CUGAAUACAUUCCAUGACACCGUCGCAGUCCACUACAAAAAAUAAUUCGAUUUUUGUUUUCGUUAAAAUUUAACAUGAAAAAUGAUAAGACGGUUGUCAUGCCUCUAAAUUCCACGUAGCUGUUCCGGCGAAUGACUGAAAGGAGAUGAAAUGAAGAGAGACGAAGAAUUUCGUGGGAGUGUGUGGCUGAUACUGCUAAGGAUGAGGUCCCAGAUCUUGCGGCGAGCAACAGGAUCAACACUGCUUGUGGGUUCAUCCAGAAUAACUACUUUGGACCCGCCCACGAAAGCGAUACCAACGCAAAGCCUCCUGCGUUGACCACCAGACAAUGUCUCGGUGCAUUCAUCUUGUUUUUCGAUCAAAUUUAAUCGGUUCAACAUUCUGUAACAAAAGUCAACAGUUUGAAUUUAAAAAUUUAGAGUAAUAAAGUAAUUUUGUAAAAGCU